rnacentral:pre_miRNA from 1 species
UGGACUGAUUAUUGUAUUCGACUGUAUUCAAAUGUAUUCACGGCAUGAAACAUGGGAUUGCACUGUUUUUAAAUGGAAAGUAAAUCAAUUAACAUAAUAGACUCCU